UAAAAAAUAAGCUAAAUCAAGCUAAAGAGUUCAUACCUCUUUUAUAAAAGUUUUAAUCUUUUUUUUUUAA
rnacentral:tRNA from 2 species